UACGGGGGGAGCAAGCGUUGUUCGGAUUUACUGGGCGUAAAGGGCGCGUAGGCGGUCGUGACAAGUCACUUGUGAAAUCUCCGGGCUUAACUCGGAACGGUCAAGUGAUACUGUCGGACUAGAGUACAGAAGGGGCAACUGGAAUUCUCGGUGUAGCGGUGAAAUGCGUAGAUAUCGGGAAGAACACCCGUGGCGAAGGCGGUUCUCUGGGACGGUACUGACGCUGAGACGCGAAAGCGUGGGGAGCAAACAGG
rnacentral:rRNA from 1 species